rnacentral:rRNA from 1 species
GAUGAACGCUGGCGGCGUGCCUAACACAUGCAAGUCGAGCGAACAGACGAGGAGCUUGCUCCUCUGACGUUAGCGGCGGACGGGUGAGUAACACGUGGAUAACCUACCUAUAAGACUGGGAUAACUUCGGGAAACCGGAGCUAAUACCGGAUAAUAUAUUGAACCGCAUGGUUCAAUAGUGAAAGACGGUUUUGCUGUCACUUAUAGAUGGAUCCGCGCCGCAUUAGCUAGUUGGUAAGGUAACGGCUUACCAAGGCGACGAUGCGUAGCCGACCUGAGAGGGUGAUCGGCCACACUGGAACUGAGACACGGUCCAGACUCCUACGGGAGGCAGCAGUAGGGAAUCUUCCGCAAUGGGCGAAAGCCUGACGGAGCAACGCCGCGUGAGUGAUGAAGGUCUUCGGAUCGUAAAGCUCUGUUAUUAGGGAAGAACAAAUGUGUAAGUAACUAUGCACGUCUUGACGGUACCUAAUCAGAAAGCCACGGCUAACUACGUG